UUUUACAAUGACAGCCUCCCCCCCGACCAAACCCUCCCCUAUCCAGGACACAUUGGGCUUGUUAAGGCUCUGAAGUCCAAACAAUUUGGUCGCAUACACGACAAAAUAUCGUUAGCAUCACAGUUGCACCAUUUAUCUAGCUCAACCAGGUCAAAAAAAAGAUCUGACCUACAGUGCAUGUAUAUUUGAGUUAUUUAAGCCGACACUCCAGACUAGACGGCUCAAUCAGCUAUAGAAGGUGUCACCUCUCGCCACCACAUCACACAGCUGUACAGCUAGUCCUGCUGCUGAGGCUGAUGGGGAUUUUUAAGUCAUGCCGGAUGUGACUGUGAUCAGAUAAUUUAGGAGGGGUCAUUUUAAUGUGGAUAAAGUGUACUUUCACCCCUGCUUACUGACCACUCCCAACCUACUACUGCCAACCUGAAGAAUAAACUACUAUUUAAAUCAUUUCAUUAUCAAGGUGUGUCAUUUUGUGGUUCUCUUUCACUGCAAAAAAAAACCCAACACUUUGAUCUCAUCAGGUGUUUGUUUGCAGCAUGCCACGUGGAAUUCACUCUGUUACAUUAAGGUUCAUGUGGAUGUUUUUGCAGUGUCAUUAUUGGGUAUUGUGUGUAGAUUGAUGAGGAAAAAUGUAUAUUUAAUCGAUUUUAGAAUAACGCUGUAACGUAACAAAAUGUGGGAAAGGGGAAGGGGUCUGAAUACUUUCCGAAUGCUCUGUAUAUUACUGUAUAAACCAUGUCGUGGUCCGUUUUUUUAAAAACUGCUCGCGCUUUUCCGUCGUUAACCAUCUGUUUACACUUUGUUCAGUCGUGUUCACUCGUCGGUUGGCGAGCUGAGGGGCCGCGGGAAAGAAAAGGGAUCAAUGGUCAUAGCAACACACUUUCUUCGAUAGCAAUGAAUGUAUGACAGAUCUCUUGUCAUUGCACGUUGUCAUCACAAACCCGCCAUUUAUUUUAUUUAAAGAGACAGUGUACUGAGAAACCUACUAUUUACAUGUGGCUUUUGUAAUUUCACCCGACAGGUGUUUUGUAAUAAACAUUUUAGCUUUCA